UACGUAUGGAGCAAGCGUUAUCCGGAUUUACUGGGUGUAAAGGGUGCGUAGGUGGCAGUGCAAGUCAGAUGUGAAAGGCCGGGGCUCAACCCCGGAGCUGCAUUUGAAACUGCAUAGCUAGAGUACAGGAGAGGCAGGCGGAAUUCCUAGUGUAGCGGUGAAAUGCGUAGAUAUUAGGAGGAACACCAGUGGCGAAGGCGGCCUGCUGGACUGUUACUGACACUGAGGCACGAAAGCGUGGGGAGCAAACAGGAUUAGAAACCCGUGAGCCGUGACUGACU
rnacentral:rRNA from 1 species